rnacentral:SRP_RNA from 1 species
CUGUGCUAAGCGGGGAGCCAGCGGUGCCCUGUACCUGCAAUCCGCUACAGCAGGGCGAAUGCCCGCUCCCGGGUUCGACUGGUCAGGCAGAAUCCGGUAAGUGGCGAUGAAGGUUGGGUCCUGCGCAAUAGAGUUCUGCAAAACGGGUCAGGCCUUGACCGGAGCAGCCCUAAGCGGAAUACUUUAUGUGCCGCGGGGGCGCCUGACUGGAGCCGGCUGCCGGCAGCUCACUUGGUUGGCCGCUCUCAAAGGCGGGCUGCACAG